AGUGAACGCUGGCGGCAGGCCUAAUACAUGCAAGUCGAACGGCAGCACAGUGGAGCUUGCUCCAUGGGUGGCGAGUGGCGGACGGGUGAGGAAUACAUGGGAAUCUGCCCAGUCGUGGGGAUAACGUAUGGAAACGUACGCUAAUACCGCAUGCGCCCUUCGGGGGAAAGUCGGGGACCGCAAGGCCUGACGCGAUUGGAUGAGCCCAUGUUCGAUUAGCUAGUUGGCAGGGUAACGGCCCACCAAGGCGACGAUCGAUAGCUGGUCUGAGAGGAUGAUCAGCCACACUGGAACUGAGACACGGUCCAGACUCCUACGGGAGGCAGCAGUAGGGAAUAUUGGACAAUGGGCGCAAGCCUGAUCCACGCCACUGCCGCGUCGAGUGAAGAAGGA
rnacentral:rRNA from 1 species